GGGCGGCUAGUUCAGCGGACAGAGCGCCGGUUCCGGACCAGAUGGUCGGGGGUUCGAAUCCCUCGCCGCCCU
rnacentral:tRNA from 1 species